GAAGGGCACUUCUCAGAACUGAGUCGUCAGAGCCCCGGGGAAAAUUGGUUUCAGUAAGCUGUCGGCAACCGGCCAAGACCCCAAAGCCUGUAACCGAAGCCGCUGCCAGCCAGCCGGACGCAGCCCAGACGCUCCUGCCAACCUGCUUUGAAUUCUCUCUCUAGCGUUUCCAUUAGGCCACCUCCAAAAUCUACCUCCUGCUUGACCGCUUUCGUGAAGGGAGUCAGCAAACUUCUGCCCGCGGGCCAAAUAGGGCUUCUGACCCCUGCACAAGCUACAAAUGGAUUUGACGUUUUUAAGUGGUUGAAAGAAAACCAAAAGAAGAAUAAUACUUUGUGACACCUGAAGUCACACGAAAAUCAAACUUAAUUGACCAUAAAUAAAAUUUUAUUGGCACACG